UCUCGUUGUCCAGCACUUCCAGGAGCCUCUGAUGCUACAAGGAAAGACACCUGAGGUAUUGUUAUGGCUCUGAAAAUCGACCAGUAAGAAGAGAGAACAUCUGUACGCAGAAUGAAGAAAUGAAGCAUGCACUGAAUUCCAGAGUGAAGAAAUGAAGCACACACUGAAUUCCAGGGUGAAGAAAUGAGGCACGCACUGGGAAGCCAGGCAGCACUUACACAGCAGGCUUCCAUCUUAGACAGCCGUUUUAUUACAUCAGAGGAUCAGACGCACUUCAAACAUGAAGCAGUCUUUGUCUCAACAACUUCUAAAUGAAACAGCUCUUGAAAACUCACCUCAGCCCUGUUCUAUUCGCCUAAUCAGCAGAGUAAACUCUCCCAGCAGUCGAGAAA